rnacentral:rRNA from 1 species
CCUACGGGAGGCAGCAGUGGGGAAUAUUGGGCAAUGGGCGCAAGCCUGACCCAGCAACGCCGCGUGAAGGAAGAAGGCUUUCGGGUUGUAAACUUCUUUUCUCAGGGACGAAGCAAGUGACGGUACCUGAGGAAGAAGGAACGGCGAACUACGUGCCAUCAGACGUGGUAAUACGAAGUGUGCAAGGGGUAUCCGGAUUUCCUGGGUGUAAAGGGCGUGUAGGCGGGGACGCCAGUCAGAUGUGAAAACCACGGGCUCAACCUGUGGCCUGCAUUUGAAACUGUGUUUCGUGAGUACUGGAGAGGCAGACGGAAUUCCUAGUGUAGCGGUGAAAUGCGUAGAUAUUAGGAGGAACACCAGUGGCGAAGGCGGUCUGCUGGACAGCAACUGAC